GUGCGCGUCACCCUGGCCGAUCCUCACCGCGUCACCCUGGAGCUGAUGAAGAGGUUGAUCGACUCUGGGGUGGGCCUGGCUCCCCACCACGCGGUGGAGAAGGCCAUGGCCGAGCUGCAGGAGAUCCUCACUGUCCUCUGAGAGGAUGGGAGGAUAAGGCCCGCGCCUGCCUGCAGGCCAGGUGAGCUUUCACACAGACACAUCUGCAAACACUCCAUGGGGAUGUUUGCACCUUCCUAAUUAAUCGUCCCAUGCCUGUCUGUCCUGCAAUAACCCCAGGCCUCGACACAGCAUGGUGACCUUGGAGAGCAUUGUGCUGGAAGCUCGAACAUUCCAGCAUACCUACCUAAUAUAUUGGCCCUCAGAGAGGCCUACUGAAGGCCAAAGACUGGACAUCUAAGGUGGAAGCCAUUCAGAGUGGCAACAGCUACGCGUACCUGGAGCAGCUGGAGAGCCUACUGGCCAGGGGUCGCUCCAUUCCUGUCCGGCUCGAUCCACUGGGUCCAGGUAGAGUCUCAGGUGGCCGCAGGCUCGAGCCUGGAGGGAGAGGACCGGUCGCACCUUCCUCAAGAAGAACUCCACGUACACACUGCUCCAGGUCCUCAGCCCUCGCGUGGGACAUCGGCAUCUACGGCAACAGCAAGAGCAAGAGGAAACGCGUCAAGGAGCUCAUGGAGAAAGGAGAGGGAGGCUUUGACCCUGACGCCCUCAGCGACCUGGAGGAGAGCCUCGAAGAGGUGCGAGACCCGUCAACCGUCGUAGCCGCCUUCAAAGCCAAAGAGCAUAAAGAAGUGGAGGCCAUCCACUCACUCCGUGCUGCCAAUUUAGCCAAGAUGGCCAUGGCCGACCGCAUCGAGGAGGUCAAAUUCUGCCUGUGUCGAAAGACGGCCAGCCGGCUUCAUGUUGCAGUGCGAGCUCUGUAAGGACUGGUUCCACGGAGCCUGCGUUCCCCUGCCUAAGACGGGAACUCAGAAGAAGGCGGGUGUGGGUUGGCAGAGCAAUAGCAAAGACUCCAAUUCCUGUGUCCGCUGUGUCAGAGGUCAGGAGGCCGAGACUAGAGACCAUCCUGUCGCUGUUGGUUUCGCUGCAGAAACUGCCGUUGCGUCUUCCAGAAGGAGAAGCUCUCCAGUGUUUGACAGAGAGGGCAAUGAGCUGGCAGGACCGAGCGCGUCAAUCUCUGGCCACGGAGGAGCUGUCCUCAGCCCUGGCCAAGCUGUCUGUGCUGAGCCAGCGCAUGGUGGAGGCAGGCGGCGAGGGAGAAACUGAGAAGAUCAUCAAUGCAGAGCUGCAGAAGGCUGCUGCCAACCCGACUUGCAGGUACUUAAAUGAUCUUACAUUGUUCUAAUUCCUGCUCCAGUACAGUACGUCGGGG
rnacentral:lncRNA from 1 species